rnacentral:miRNA from 1 species
UCUGAUCCCUACCUGGGCCUCACCUGGAUCUGGUGACUCUGGUCCCCACCUAGGCCUCACCCAGACGUGGUGACUGUGGUCCCCACCUGGGCCUCA